UGCUCUUCGAGGCUGUCGCGGGGACCCACGUUCCCGGUCCCGGCAGAGGACAGGGAGCCCUGGUGCUUCCCGGGGUAUUGAGCUCCGAGCAGCCACGCGGCUGGAACGCCCCGUGACAGAGGCUGUAGAUGGUGACACUAAAAGGGAAGCAGCAUGUUGGAGCAGUGAGAGAGGGUCUGAUGGAGUCAAAACUCUCAGGGGCAUGAUCCACCAUCGAGGACUGCAGUUCAAGGGUAAUCAUGGUUUUACCAACCAGCCUCUCAUAAUAUCUAAAGGGAAAUGUCUCUUUUGUACUUCACUGUCUUGUUAUGCCUCCUGAUAAGAUUUGCAUGGCUUCAUAAACUUGAAACUCUGCUUUUGGAGGAGUUUCACUUUUAUGCUUUCUUCUUCUGCCCCUCACCCACCACUAUCCCUUAGUGCAAUCAGGCAUUUUUUUAUUAAACUACUUUCACCAAACCACAAAGUGUGUCUCCUGUCUUGAAAUGAGAACAAGCUGCCUAAUUCUUUGCAGGCACGCUACUCAUUUGCUUCUUCUAAUGAUAAUAAUAAUAAAAAAUAUUUCUGUUGUUCAGUGGAACAAAAUUAGGUAAACCUCCAAGUCCCCAGCAAAGGAGCAUCAGCUCUCAUUUUACAGAAAAUGAGAUAUUGGUGUUUAGGUCAGUUCCUGAGGUCACUUGUCAAAGUAACUUCAAAUCUGUAAUACCUUAUCCAGAGAAGGCAAGAAUUUGUUACAGAAUAAAGCAAAAACCCCAAAUUCAGUUUUAAGAACUUAAACAGCUUUCUGGGGAACUGUGAUAUUUUUUCAGUCUAGGCUCAAAGGAACAGAUAAUGACUCUCCGUAACUGAGGAAAUAAGUCCUACAUUAUUUAGCCUUGAAACUUAAGGAAAGCUGAAAAGUAAUUGUUUAAUUAAAACCCAAAGGAAUGUGAGAGGAUGACUGACUGCAUGACUUGGCUCUGAUAGUAUCACCAACUUACUCUUCAAAGAGAGCCUCUAGCAGGCCUGGGUUCUCAUGACGUAAGGAUGCCCGAAUGUUUUAUUUAUAAGGUUAUUGUGGCUUUCCUGUAACAUGUGAAAAUGUGCCAUUGCUGGGAGGCGUACAGCCCGUGUAAACUUGGUAGGAUUUUGGCAGAAUACCAGUGAAAACAGUCUCAGUGUAUGAAUUAACACCAAUGUGUGCCAUAAAUACAGUAACAGGAUUUUAAAAGCAAAGGCUUUGAGUUUAUCACCCAAGGGGCUACACCAGAUGAAUUUGAGGAGGAAGGCAGGGGCACAAAAAGGCUGCAGUUUUUUGCCUGUGCAAGAGCCAGUUCUUGGAAAGAUGACAGCAGGAGAAAUCAGAGUGAAACAGCAGGAUGAGAAGUCUGAGGAGAGAUAAAAUUUCAAAAUGUCCAGCUCGAGACAUUGUGGGCAUGACUGAUACUGAUUUGCCUCAGGGACUUUAGUAGUAAAUAUGUGGUAGUAAAUACAUGCAAAGUUAUCUUAGCAUUCUUCAGUGACUGUGACCUUCACCCAUUCCUCAGCUAAUUUAUUUGCUAAAUCCACCAGCAGUUUCAUUUGCUACAGAACACUUUCUGCCCUGAAAACCAACACUGGCCCAAGACCAUCAGCACAAAUUAACCUUGUAAAAAUGUAGGUUAGAGACACAAACAUUACUUGCCAAAAGGGAAGAACUUCUGACCCAGUGUUCAGCUGGGGAAGUUUUGGCCAUGUGUGACCAGGAUUAUAUUCCUUGCCUGUGCCAGCAGGGCUUCACUGCUGUCCCCAACACACUACUGCACAUAUUCAGUCUCCGUAAGACUCCUCGGAGUUCCUGUUCCUCUGCCUUGAGUGCUGUGGACAGUCUGUGUUCAGACACUGAGAGAACAAACCCACUCCAGCAGGCAACCACCAGAAUCUGUAUUCUCUUGCAUUUGUGUAUCUGAACUGAUGAGAGGUUUAAGAAAAAACAAAAGGACUGAGUGAAAACUGUUCACAGAUUGAGACCUCCCACCAGGAAAAUUAGGAGCAACUCCAUAGAAUUUAUUGCUAUAAACCCCCACAGCUCUGCAUAUUUAAGGUGCUAAUAAUAUUUCAGACAAAGCUGUUACAUGUAUUUUAAAAGAGAGAAGUUACUCUGAAAAGGGGUAUGUGAGCAUAUGAAUAUAGUGUUACAGAUAUUGUCCUGAUCCUGCCUACUGUGCUGCUCACAUACUGAAUUUGGUGAGAGAGGCUGUUAUUUCUAGAAAAGAAAAAGAAGGAAAUACUGACAGAGUAAUUUCCCCAGUUCUGAACAUCUCUCACCCCCCUUAAUUUUUUUCUCCAGUUACACAAUUUUAGGUUCUUGGGUCCAUUCCUGUACCAUGUCAAUCACCUACAAUUGCAAUUGACUUCAACUUAUUCCUUUUAGGCACAGCAAGAUCUAAGUGAUAAUGCAAAGCUGCUGGUUUGAGCUAUUUAUGUAACUACUUUAAAAACUUAUUCUUAGAGCAAGGACUUCAUAGAACAAGGAGCACAUUGCUUACCUUCUCCUUCUAUUCACUGGAUCUCUCCUGCCUCAUAGUUGUUUUUUCUCUGGAAAUCAUUAAGGCUUGAUUUCAGCAGGGAUACGCAUCUAUUUUUGCAAAGCUCCCAAGUGAACACGACACACUACCUUCCAGAGCAUUUAUUUUGAUCCUGAAAAUUGCAGGCCUCUGGUAAUCAUCAAACCCGCUAGUUUAAAGACAUUUACUACCUCAGCCUUGAAUUGUUAGAAAUGCUGUAAAACUUACACAAGUUGGAGAACAAACAAGGCAACUGGGAAGAAAACAAGCAUCUAAAAUUAUUCCAGUGGUCAGGAAACCAUUUUCUUAUACUUUAUGUAAUUAUUUUAAAAGCUUAAACAUCCUCUUAGUGUUUCUGCCUGCAGUUUUAAGGGAUUUUACACUUCACACGUUGCUUCAACAGACACGUUAUAAUUGGCUGACAGUGAACAGCAUCACCUACUCUUCAGCUGUAGGAGAUCAUAAGAAUAAGAUAAAUGAUGGGCUAAAAAACUGGGGAAGAGAUGAACUUUGUGCCUCACUGUGUUCUGGACUGGUAUUAUUAACACUAACAGCAAUAACAAAAAUGCAUCUGAAUAUUUUAAGUUUUCUGGUUUUUUUAAGUGUAUGUAUUCUGGGCAGAUUGAAUGAAUUUAAAACCUCUUUUUCUUACAAUGAAGAAGAAAAUCCAGAGAAAAUUGCAUUCAGUCCUCACAUACAUUGUAUUUUCCAGAUUUCAGCACAGUUGGCUCAGCAGUGAUACACUUUUCAGAGUUUAAUACUGAUACUGAAAACCAACAUUCCCAAAGGUCAGGUAACUGCCAAUUAGAUAUAUUUGUGCACAUACAUACACAGAGGCAGUGUAGGUGAACCACUACUCUCUACACUGUUUUUGGAGGCAACCAACAGCUUGAACAACAUUGCCCUGAAAUGAAAACAAACUAAGAGACUUUUUCAGUUUCUACCUUGUUCUUGAAUAGGAAGGGAGAGGAGAGGAGUAAGGAAGAAGUCCCACAGGUCACUAAAGCAGGAGGAGGAGCAGCCUAUUCCUGCUGAUUCAUUUGUGCUGCUUACAGGAGUAAGGAUAUGCAGGAUACAGACCAGGCUUAGAGCAAACAAGAUACAAACCUCUCAGAGUAACUAAUCUUCAGCUCUUGAAUACUGAUCUGUUUACAUUUCAAUACAGAGGAGGGGCCAUAGGCCAUAGUUUAAACCUUUAUGGGAAGGAUAUCUCCUUCUAGAGUUUUCAGGCUGCUGUGCAGCACUGAAGCCCAGAGGUGUCCUGGGACCCCAGGCUUCUCUGACCUGGGAAGAUCCCCACCCUGGCAGCCAGAGCAGCAGCCUCUGCUAUUUCUGUGGCUUUCUCCACAGAAUUGUACCAUUUGUACAAUUACAAGAGAGGAUGAUUCCCUCUCUUUUAGCCCUUCAUCACUAGAUGAAAAUGUAGCCUGGGCAUCCAGAUCCAACCCUCACUGAUGCAAUUCUGUUUUGAAAUUCACUCGCUGGGGAGACAGAGGUCUGCUCAGGGCCUUUGCUGGGGCCCAGGACAAGCUUUGGGUGUCAUUUCCCAGGUCAACAGCAUGGAAAGUGCUGAACCUAAUCAGAGAGCUACUGUGAUGCCCAAUUACCAUGCAGGUAUUAUUUAUUUAUGUAUUAGAAACUUACUAAUAGCUACAUAAAACAAAUCUGCAGAAGUUUACAAUUUGGGUUAUCACAUCACUUUACAAGUAAACUAAAAAAAAAUAAUCCAUUCAACCAUUUAUAAAAAAGCCACUCAAGGAUCAACACUCAACUCUUCUUACUACUGACAGCUUGAUUUUCAAGGGCUUUACAGGAGAAAAGGUCUACCAAAGACCUGUGUGAGUCAGAAGUGAUCCUCCACCACAGUUUCAAGACCACUGACUAAUUAAAAAUAAGGCUCAUAGCAGAGUUUUGAAUCCCAGCAGCAAACACCAGUACGGUACUGGUAUGAAGAGGCUGUAUCACCAAAAGCAAAAAGAAGCGAUUUAACCCCUCAGCUCCAGAUAUUCAGCCAAAUUUAUAAAGUUACAUUUGAAAGCAAAUAUAAAUGUGAAUAUGCAAUCUCUUUCUUCACAAAUACUCAUUUAUCUUGCUUCCUUCAAUCUAGUAAAUAAUUGAGGGAACAAAUAACAUGAAUGAUUCAAGAAUCAAUACAAAUGAGAUGAACUGUCACCAUGGAAAGUAUUAAUAUACUUCAGAAUAAAAGUAGAUCCUCUCAUUUUCAAUUUUGACUGAAGUGAUGAUUUAAACAAAAUAUAUUUUAAAAUUUCUCCCCAGAAUUUCACUAAAAAACUAAGAGCAGCUCCAGGCCUGGCCUCUUUCUAAGCAGCAGUGUGUGCAUGUAGCUUGAAAAGAAAUUCAGCAUUUAUGUCACGGAUACUCUUACAGAACAGCUCUUGCACACUAAACAGAACAGUGUCUAAUGGACACAGCUCCCAAGUUUUCUUUUCCUUAUUUUCUUUGCCCAAGGGUAGAGGCUGGGGCUGUAAACUGGCCUGUAUACUGUCACUAGCACCCUGGAUGCCAUGAUUUGGAAGCCCUCACCUUAAGGCUCUUCUGCCACCAGCCUCCAUUUCCUCGGUGUGUUGGCAAGACCUCAGAAAGAAAAUGAGUAUAUGGCAAUGGGAACAAUGGUGAAACAUUUGGAGGUUCUGACAACUACUCCUUUAUUCAGUAUUCCACUCUCCUUCAGAAAACACCUCAGAACAAAUUAACA